rnacentral:rRNA from 1 species
AGAGUUUGAUCCUGGCUCAGGACGAACGCUGGCGGCGUGCUUAACACAUGCAAGUCGAACGAGAUCCAACUGGUCGCAAGACCAGGGAAGAUCUAGUGGCGAACGGGUGAGUAACACGUGAGGAACGUGCCCCGGAGACCGGGAUAACAGCGGGAAACCGCUGCUAAUACCGGAUACCUUCAUUUGAUCGCAUGGUCAGUUGAAGAAAUGGAUUCCGCUCCGGGAGCGCCUCGCGGUCUAUCAGCUUGUUGGUGGGGUAAUGGCCUACCAAGGCGACGACGGAUAGCUGGUCUGAGAGGACGAUCAGCCACACUGGGACUGAGACACGGCCCAGACUCCUACGGGAGGCAGCAGUGGGGAAUCUUGCCCAAUGGGCGAAAGCCUGAGGCAGCAACGCCGCGUGUGGGAUGAAGGCCCUUGGGUUGUAAACCACUUUCAGCAGGGACGAAAAUGACGGUACCUGCAGAAGAAGCCCCGGCCAACUACGUGCCAGCAGCCGCGGUAAGACGUAGGGGGCGAGCGUUGUCCGGAUUUAUUGGGCGUAAAGAGCUCGUAGGCGGCUCAGAAAGUCGGGUGUGAAACCUCCAGGCUCAACCUGGAGACGCCACCUGAUACUGCUGUGGCUAGAGUCCGGUAGGGGAACACGGAAUUCCCGGUGUAGCGGUGAAAUGCUUAGAUAUCGGGAGGAACACCAGUGGCGAAGGCGGUGUUCUGGGCCGGAACUGACGCUGAGGAGCGAAAGCGUGGGUAGCAAACAGGAUUAGAUACCCCGGUAGUCC